UGCAAAGUAAAAUGUACAACCCUAGAAUCGAACCAUGACAUCUAACCAACACAAAUUAACACAUAUACUCUUCACAACGUGUAUGUAUUUAUGCAACGCAACAAAGAAGAUGCAAACGCAUACAGAGCGAU